rnacentral:misc_RNA from 1 species
UGUUAUUAAACUAUAACUAAUUCAUUCCCACUGAUCAACCACAAAAAGCAUAAUACAAUAAUCCGUAGUAAACAUCUCCAAUGUCCAUUACCGGCUAAGAACUCACUAGCAUAUACAAUUAUACUACUUUCAAACUCUAAUGCACGCCUUAAUAAAUCAACAAAAAUCAAAUAUCUAUCAAACACGAUUGGCAAACAAACAAUAAGUAGACACUAACUCACCCGUCUCCUCAUCAGCCUUAGACUUCCAACCCUCACAACGUAAAGCAGUCCCCCACUGCAUCCUAUAACAAGUAUUCUGCUCAAUCACCGGCUUCCCACUCCAAUCCCCCUUCAGCCUCGGAUUGAAAUGCAGAAUCCUUGGCGGGUCCUCGCCUUCCACAAUCUUCAAUCCCUGCAACUCCAUCAUAAACUGCGAAACCAUCACCAGCUCUCCACCAUCUUUCACCAGCGAUAUCUUUGGGUCGUUCUCAGCAUGGGCCCUCCUUGGCUUCCCCACCACCGUUACGUGCGACCCCAAAGUCAGCCCACAUGGCAACUCCACGACCUUCCCUCGCUUCAGAAAAUCGGAACGAGAUAGAGAAAUCGAAUGCGGGCACGAUUCGGAUAGGUUCUGGGGCUUCUUAACUUCCAAAACCUUAAUUUUACCCGACUCUAUCCCUCCCCAAAGCUUACUUCCCACU